rnacentral:rRNA from 1 species
AUUGAACGCUGGCGGCAGGCUUAACACAUGCAAGUCGAGCGGAGAUGAGGUGCUUGCACCUUAUCUUAGCGGCGGACGGGUGAGUAAUGCUUAGGAAUCUGCCUAUUAGUGGGGGACAACAUUCCGAAAGGAAUGCUAAUACCGCAUACGUCCUACGGGAGAAAGCAGGGGAUCUUCGGACCUUGCGCUAAUAGAUGAGCCUAAGUCGGAUUAGCUAGUUGGUGGGGUAAAGGCCUACCAAGGCGACGAUCUGUAGCGGGUCUGAGAGGAUGAGCAGCCACACUGGGACUGAGACACGGCCCAGACUCCUACGGGAGGCAGCAGUGGGGAAUAUUGGACAAGGGGGGAAAACCUGAUCCAGCCAUGCCGCGUGUGUGAAGAAGGCCUUAUGGUUGUAAAGCACUUUAAGCGAGGAGGAGGCUACUGAGACUAAUACUCUUGGAUAGUGGACGUUACUCGCAGAAUAAGCACCGGCUAACUCUGUGCCAGCAGCCGCGGUAA